AAACUUUUAUAGUUUUAAAUUUGUAACCAAAUAAUGAUACUAGCUUCCACUAAUAUAGGUAUGUUGCAUAUUAUAAUUUGAUUACCUUAGUUAGGACACAUAUACACACUAGUGGAUUAGUUUAUUAGGUUGGAGCUAUUUUGGUUAAUAGUAUUACACAUACAUGAACAUGGCCUGGUCAGCCCCGUACACGUAGAGUCCAACACAACCCAGCAACCCACGACUCGCUCUCUCUCUCUCUCAUUCUCCUUUCUAUCUCUUUCUCCCUCACGAGCACGCAGGCGACCAGGACGCACCCCUCGCACGCACUUGUGAUGUCGCAGCCGCCACCCGCUGCUCUGGCCGUCGUCGGCCAGGUCCGGCGCCGCCGCUCUCCGAUUCGACUUCGCCUCCAUCUCUUCUCCUAUUUUCCCACUGUCUCGAUGCUCGGCCGUGCUCCACGCACGACCCCUGCGAAACCUAGCCCGCCUUGACCGCUGCCGGCCUACUCCGGCACCGGCGAGACGUUUUUCUGGCUCCCCUCAACAUCCUCUACCACUCUGUCCCGCUCGAUUUGAUUUUCCACCUCUACCUCGUCCGCCCCCAAACCUGGAAACCCUAGCGGUCGCUGCUGCUGUCCGGUGAGGCUUCGCCAUCACCCGCCGCCUCGAUGCCGCCCUACGCGCGUGCCCCCCCAAGCGCCUCCACGCGCGCUCGGCCGAACCCUAGGUUCGCGGGCGUGUUGCUGCAAGCCACUGCUGCUCCCCAUCGGCGACCCCGCCUCCUCAUCGACCACGAGCCCCAGCUCGAGCUCGCCAUCUCGGUGGUAUCUGGUGGUUUGGUGUGUUGUUCAUGGCGAUGUGCACUGUUGUUGCGACUACUUCAUCCUCGACGCCGGCUGGACGGUGUCGCGGACGCAACCCCGGCGUCGCCUACCUCGCCACUUUCUGAAGGAAUGAUAAGAAGAGGAAUAGAAGAUUUAGUUUAGGGUUUAGUUUUAUUCUUUUGUAAUUUUCUAUUUCUUUUCUAACUUAUAAUUUAUUUAAUAAUGUAUUAUGUAAUAAAGAUUAACUCAUUUAUUCAUUUGGAACUAUCAAGUGUAUUUACUUGUACAUAUUAUAUUUAUAUACU